GGCUGGUCCAAGUACAGUGGUGUUUGCAACAAAUUAAUCACACUGGUUACAGAUUUCUUUGUUUCUCCUUACCCCCACUGCUUCUCUUGACUAGGCUUAA
rnacentral:Y_RNA from 1 species